GAUCACUGUAAUCAUGCUGAAGGUAGCACUUGUUCUUGGAUGCCUCCUGAGCCUAGUUGUGGCUAAACCUAUGGAGCACCAACGUUUUGCCCGAUCAGACUCAUCUGAUUCUGAUUCCGACUCAGAUGAGACCACCACGACCACAAUCACAGCAGCAGGUGCUACAACUGCUGCACCUGACCUGAAUGCACUCAUUCUUCAACUACUUCAACAAUUACUUCGCCAGUAACCAUCAAAAUCAAGGCCUGCUGUUUGCCAGAAUACUUCUGUUCACUCAUCAAUUGGAGAACUAUGACUUAUAACUGUCUGUACACUU